UCUUUGGGGAACUGAAGACUUAACACUCUUGCCCAAGUAGCUCCCACAGAACAUUUCAGUUAAUCACUCCAGGGUAAGGAUAGAUGCUGACUCUUUCACAUAUUUUCUCAGAUCAGGUUUUCAUUAUAAUAUUUUAUGGUUUUAAACCCUUUGAAAAUGUGCUCAGGGCACUUCCCCGCUCUGUCCAAAAACUGGCAAAGGAGAGGGCAUGCCUCGCAGAGUCCUUUGCCCAGCAAAGGACAUUCUUCAAAGACUUGUUCAGGGUCCCUCUCACUCCCCACCCUCCACCCACGAUGGCUUUGACUCUGGUAUGAGCUCCUGUCAAAAGGCCAUCAACAACAUGCUGAGACUGGCUGGAAAGAAGUUCUCUGAGUCAACACUGGUUUGUUGUGCCUCUAACAAUUCUCAGGAACUGAACAUACUGUCUGAGUUCGACCACACCUUCUGGAAAAUGAGGGCAAAUCUCAAACACUCCCAAGUAUUUGUUGAUUUUUCAGAGGCUAUGCCCUGUUGGCAUUACCCAAUUAAGACAGACCUCUGACCCUUGAGGACCUACAUACUGAGAAACAAAGUGACAUGUUCCCAAGCCGUGUUACAACUGAAUUCCAUUUGUACUUCCUUCAGAUGCCUGGCAAGAUUGAGAAGGAACACUUCCAGAAGCCAUAUUGAUAAUCAUCGGGUGCAGCAAAAGCUGGGCAUCCACAGUCACGACUGGCCUUGCUCUGCAGGGAGGAAACAAGAGGUUUCGAUGAGCCACAUGAACAACACUGCACUUCUAGGGACCACUGCCAACGUUCCCAGCCUUCAGGCCAAGAAUUUGCCUCACUGCAUGAACAGGUGGGCUCCAGACUUAACUAAUUACCUUAAAACACAUGUCGUCGCUCAUGACUCCAAAUGAAGGAUGCUAUGGGCCCCAUCAGGCAAAACUGUGUUCACAGACUCGCUUUGUUUAUGGAGGGGGCUCAGGGUAUUUGGUGCUAUUGCCAUGCACUGCCUCUCUGGAAUCUGCUCUAUUCCUAUCGGAGCAAAUGCGUCAUUCUGCCUUCACUCGUGCCUCAUAUCCGUGCAUUUCUGCUAUGUCAGAGGAAAAAAGAGUUACUGAUUUGAAAAUACAGACUCCAGUAUUCAGACAAGUGUGGGCCACACGGUCCUCAGGGUGAUCCCUAUUUGUUGAAAUGACACCAGAUGAGAGUUCUACUAUGAAAAAUGACUCAAGAGGAAUUGUGUGCUUUGUUUUUGGCUCCAAAUAAGGUUAAAUAUUAAUAUGCCAAGAUUAGACAUUUUAUAAAAGAUGGGUUUUAAGAACGGACUGUCCAGAAAUGGCAAAGAAAAUAAGACUAGAAGCUCUUCCAAGGCAAGAAUCUUUCUUCAGGCUUGCACAUGACAAGUACUUCAUGGGAUGGUACAGGUUGAAAUAAAUGAAGAUAGAAAUAAUUUUGGGAUGCACAGCACCAGGUACAGGGCCAGAUUUGGAACAGGGGCUUUAUAAAUGCUUGAACUAGGAGAAUAAGUAAUAAUGAGAUAAUA